GGCGAACGGGUGAGUAAUAUAUCGGAACGUACCUAGAGUGGGGGGAUAACGACAGACGAAAGUUGCGCUAAUACCGCAUACGAUCUACGGAUGAAAGUGGGGGAUCGCAAGACCUCAUGCUCAUGGAGCGGCCGAUAUCUGAUUAGCUAGUUGGUGGGGUAAAGGCCUACCAAGGCUUCGAUCAGUAGCUGGUCUGAGAGGACGACCAGCCACACUGGAACUGAGACACGGUCCAGACUCCUACGGGAGGCAGCAGUGGGAAUUUGGACAAUGGGCGAAAGCCUGAUCCAGCAAUGCCGCGUGAGUGAAGAAGGCCUUCGGGUUGUAAAGCUCUUUUGUCAGGGAAGAAACGGUGGACUCUAAUACAGAUCACUAAUGACGGUACCUGAAGAAUAAGCACCGGCUAACUACGUG
rnacentral:rRNA from 1 species